GCAGAAAGGGACCUGGGGUAUUGGUUAACAGACAGCUGAGCAAGGAGCCAGCAGUGUGCUCGGGUGGCCAAGAAGGCCAGUAGCAUCCUGGCUUGUAUCGGAAAUAGCAUGGCCAGCAGGACUAGGGGGGUGUUUGUCGCCCUGUGCUCGGCUCUGGUGAGGCUGCGCCUUGAACGCUGGGUUCAGUUUGCCCCCUCCCCGCCCCCCCACAAGAGGGGCAUCGAGGUGCUGAAGGGUGUCCAGAGUAGGGCAAUGAGGCUGGUGAAGGCUCUAGAGAACAAGGCUGGUGAGGAGCAGUUGAGGGAGCUGCAGUUGUUGAGCCUGGAGAAAAGGAGGCUUGGGAGGCCUUACCACUCUCUACAACUACCUCAGAGCAGGUUGUUGCAGGGUGGGGGCUAUCUGAUGGGAAAUGGUCCGUUGCCUGGAUCUCCCUCCCAGAAUGGAAGCUGGCCAAAGGAUGUCUGGAAAGCCUUUGGAUUCUGGAAGUAUUCCUGCUUUUGUACAGAGAUUAUUCACAUUUUUCAGUUAGAUGAGCUCCCUCUUGGAAUCCCCUCUUGGCAAGGGACGAUGAGUAAGUGUCUGGGUAAUGGCAGGAUUAUUUUUUUGACAGCAUUUGAAUGCCCAUCAUUGGCCUUCCUGAUUUUACAGCAGAGGACAGCUAAGGUAUCUGAAUAUAAGGGAAUGAAGGCUGGUUUGGUAGCUUGCUUCAGAAAAUGUAUUAAUGCUGAGGAGACUAAACUAUGUAUAAUGGCACAAUUCAUGUCUUGAAUAGGCAGUGGUGUAAACAUUCAAAUAAAGCAUAAAAGCAAUCUUUAAAUACUA